GACGAACGCUGGCGGCGUGCUUAACACAUGCAAGUCGAACGGAAAGGCCCUGCUUUUGUGGGGUGCUCGAGGGGCGAACGGGUGAGUAACACGUGAGUAACCUGCCCUUGACUUUGGGAUAACUUCAGGAAACUGGGGCUAAUACCGGAUAGGAGCUCCUGCUGCAUGGUGGGGGUUGGAAAGUUUCGGCGGUUGGGGAUGGACUCGCGGCUUAUCAGCUUGUUGGUGGGGUAGUGGCUUACCAAGGCUUUGACGGGUAGCCGGCCUGAGAGGGUGACCGGCCACAUUGGGACUGAGAUACGGCCCAGACUCCAACGGGAGGCAGCAGUGGGGAAUAUUGCACAAUGGGCGGAAGCCUGAUGCAGCAACGCCGCGUGCGGGAUGACGGCCUUCGGGUUGUAAACCGCUUUCGCCUGUGACGAAGCGUGAGUGACGGUAAUGGGUAAAGAAGCACCGGCUAACUACGUG
rnacentral:rRNA from 1 species